GUGACCUCAAAUCAGGUAGGACUACCCGCUGAACUUAAGCAUAUCAAUAAGCGGAGGAAAAGAAACUAACAAGGAUUCCCCUAGUAACUGCGAGUGAAGCGGGAAAAGCUCAAAUUUAAAAUCUGGCGGUCUUUUGGCUGUCCGAGUUGUAAUCUAGAGAAGUGUUAUCCGCGCUGGACCGUGUACAAGUCUCCUGGAAUGGAGCAUCAUAGAGGGUGAGAAUCCCGUCUUUGACAUGGACUGCCAGGGCUUUGUGAUGCGCUCUCAAAGAGUCGAGUUGUUUGGGAAUGCAGCUCAAAAUGGGUGGUAAAUUCCAUCUAAAGCUAAAUAUUGGCGAGAGACCGAUAGCGAACAAGUACCGUGAGGGAAAGAUGAAAAGAACUUUGGAAAGAGAGUUAAACAGUACGUGAAAUUGCUGAAAGGGAAC
rnacentral:rRNA from 1 species